AUACGUAGGGUGCGAGCGUUAAUCGGAAUUACUGGGCGUAAAGCGCGCGUAGGCGGAUCGGUUAGUUGGGGGUGAAAUCCCGGGGCUCAACCCCGGAACUGCCCUCAAUACUGCCAAUCUAGAGAUCGAGAGAGGUGAGUGGAAUUCCUAGUGUAGAGGUGAAAUUCGUAGAUAUUAGGAAGAACACCAGUGGCGAAGGCGGCUCACUGGCUCGAUACUGACGCUGAGGCGCGAAAGCGUGGGGAGCAAACAGGAUUAGAAACCCCAGUAGUCC
rnacentral:rRNA from 1 species